GGCCCGUUAGCUCAAUUGGUAGAGCAGCAGACUCUUAAUCUGCGGGUUGUAGGUUCGAGUCCUACACGGGUCA
rnacentral:tRNA from 2 species